GAUGAAGAACGCAGCGAAAUGCGAUAAGUAAUGUGAAUUGCAGAAUUCAGUGAAUCAUCGAAUCUUUGAACGCACAUUGCGCCCGCCAGUAUUCUGGCGGGCAUGCCUGUUCGAGCGUCAUUUUCACCAUCAAGCCCCCGGGCUUGUGUUGGGGACCUGCGGCUGCCCGCAGGCCCUGAAAACCAGUGGCGGGCUCGCUGUCACACCGAGCGUAGUAGCAAUCACCUCGCUCAGGGCGUGCUGCGGGUUCCGGCCGUUAAACAGCCUUACAAAACCCAAGGUUGACCUCGGAUCAGGUAGGAAGACCCGCUGAACUUAAGCAUAUCAAUAAGCGGAGGA
rnacentral:misc_RNA from 1 species